UAUAUAUAUAUAUAAACAUGAUGCGUUUAAGUUCAUGAGCAAGAAAGAUGUUUAAAACGUUUACAUUUCUGUUGUUUUCCUUACACACAUAUGGCUUAACAUAGGAAGCGUGAUUAUUUCAUUAAAUUUGAUUAUGCAUUUUUGCAAAUCUAGAUUUUCCUGAAUAAAAUUCUGGCACCUGUUAUAAGCCCCCAAACAGGAGCUCAUGCUGUAAAUGCUUUCUACCCUGCAGCAAUGCGUUUUAGAACUGCACACCUUAUAUUCAGAUAAACGCAAUGGACUAAUUAUAAGACUAAGACACACACACGCAAAGUAGAUUGUGAAGCCAUCCUUGGUUUUGUUCAAACAUAGAAAGGACAGGGUUCUAUACGCCAUACCCAAGCAGAAUGGGAACUUUGCGACUUCAAUGGGGUUAGAGAUAGAUCAGUUUCUUUAAGAAAUGGAUGUAUUCCCUUAAAAUUAGUUAAAUAUGGGGAGAUUGAUGUUUUACUUUUCUUUGUUUUACUUACUGUGACGGGCAUGAGGGAAAAUGAAAAGGAAAGAGAAAAAAAUACCGAGUUCAAGAAAUGUAGAAGGGUUGAGCCUCUAAUUAGGAUCAUUUGUAAAUUAGUUAAGAUUUUUUUUAAGUGUAGUAUUAAUCUGUCUUAUCUGGAUCUAUUACACAAUAUAAAUGUUUCUUUGUCUAAUUUUCAAAAGGUUUUAGCUGAAGAACAUAAUGAAUUCCUAUUGUUAACGUAUAACGUAUAAAUCUGCUUUUACACAUUUUUCUUAAUAGUUAGCUAACAAUUGCUCAUUUGACUCUUUGGUGUAGUCUGGUGCAAUAGAUUUGAUCCAUUAUUUUAUGAAUUGUUGCUCUGAAGAUGUCGCACUGACAUUUAGAAGAAUACCUCAGAACUUUCAAGCGCAGCUGUUAUGUUCCAGCAGAUCAGUUAUAUCGAGACAUGCAAAUACUCAUAAGAAUAUUGUAAAAUAUAUUUUUUUUACAAAUGUCUCUGCGGAGGGAGGGGGCUGCUUUUCUUUUGUUUUGUUUGUUUCCAUGCCAAAAAUGGCACAGUCCAAAUUGGGAACAAAUGGCUUGCAGAAUCGCCCUCCCCCCCCCCAACCCCGGCCGCCUUCCUCCAGGAAGAAAGCUUGUUUGAAUUUAUAGGCACUUUUUUAAAAAUAAUAAUUUCGCGUUUUAAUUCUGAAAGGGCUAGUAUGUGGUUUUCUUUGAACUCCCUUAUUUUAAAAAUGAUUGAGUGAAUGUGUUGGGAGGGUUUUUACUUUUAUUUUUGUUUUUUUAAAAUGUGUAAAAUAGACCAAUAAAUAAACUUCGCUCCUGGUACGGGGCGUGGUAAUGCAAGUUUCAGCCCGGAGCAAAUUUUUAUAAGUUAUAAACCCCUAGAAAAAUAAGCGGUUUUAAUUGAAACCCUGACGGAUUCGGAAGUGCGCACCAGCGUACUAGAACAUACUGUUCAUCUCGUUGGGACCACCAAAGCACCCAUGCAAUUGUGAUUUAACUGCUUGAUUAAGUGGCUUGAUUAGGACGUCUCCCCGCCCCAUUGACGAAUGUAUAAUAUUCACACCAAAGGCUGCAGCGGAUCUAAUUGUGUAAUACAUUGGGCUGCAAGCGGUUACACAUCCGAGUAAUUCUACUGAUGUGAAUGGGUCAGUCUCGGAGAGCUAAAGCAUUACUCCCCGGAGUAAGGGUUUGCAAGAGCAGCACCAAAUAUUUAUCCGAUUCCAGUGUCUAUAGGGCUGUGAUAAGAAGUCAGACAUAAAACAUUCAAUAGCAAUGAAAACUCUUAUUGGCAGAGCAGCUUUGCGGCUAAUUUUGGCCUCUCUGUUCUCAUUGAUUUUUGAGUGUGCGCCAAGACAGUUAAAUUGAACUUGCUAAUAUUUUAGUGGCUAAGUUCUACAGACUUCGGUUACUUUCAUUUAAAUAUGCUCUUGGCUUUAUUCUUGUUAUCUUGAGUUCGGGCCUGAUCCUGCGUUGCAGUCAAUGGAAGAUGUGCUUUUUGAGGCCUCCAGCAUUGGAGCCUUCAUAUCUGGAAACCAUGGUACUGCCUUUACUAUUUGGGAGGGAAAGAGGUGGGCCGUUGCAAGCCAGCUUUUGCCUUGCUAUAAAAUAGCACAGACAUGUGUCUAACAUAUAUAAUUGCGUCGCUAGUGUACAAACAUAGCGUCUCUUCUCAAAGUCCUAUCCAGAAAAAAGGUUGUAUGUCAAAGAUGUUGAGGAAGAUUGUGUAUAUUUCCAGUUCCUUACCUAACUGCAGAUCUAGGAGCACAACCAUACGCUUAAGUCAAGAUAAGGGGGGAAAGAACCCCAUGCAGGGGCUGAUCCUGUGGGAGCGGUGGGGGCACCAGCAAGGAAGACUUUCAUCAGGCUGCCCCUCCUAAAUGAAUGGGGAGCUGCACUGUAUAGUGGCUAGCACAGAUUGGCCUACAAGCAUCUCCUGGCUCAUCUCGGUUGCCUGUGAUAAAUGCGUGUGUGACUUUGCUUUAACAUGAUCACAAAUACUAUAGCAACACGAGUGUCAUUCGGUACAGAGACCUCAUCCCUGACAGGAGCACUGAAAAUGCAUCUUACUUGUCUAAAAUGUGGGGAAUUAAAUAAUGCGGCUUCUUCCCCCUCUCCCUGCCCCCGAAGUGACUCUUCCAGGCAGGCUACUUUUGAAAUUUUCCAUUAACACAUUUUGGUAAAAGUGCACGUGUUUAGUUAAUUCUCUUUUACCAUCGCUGCGUGACUUGGUGCAUUUGAUUUUGCUUUGGCUGCCAGUGGCUAGCCUGUGUUUUAGUCAGAGGCACACAGAAAAAUUGCUCCCCACAAAUGUAGCUAUUAUUUGACUGAUUCCCUUUCCUCUGGCAUGAAAGGCCGUUUUAACCUCCUCUGCUCCGCGAUCAGCGUGGGGAAGCGGGGCGCUUUUCCAUGUGGAUCCGGGCGGCACCACCAAGACUGGACCAGACAAGAAAGCGACAAGAACCAGGAAUGAGCUUCCCAAGAAUGUGAGGGCAAGACAUUCUAACUGGGAUGUCAACGGCUGGCGGUGACGCUGUUCCCUUUCUCGCCCGCAUUUUUGGGUGUCCAGUGAUUGACUUGUUCGGAACUCGAGUACUUUCAUUCCCACAACCUGCCUGAACGUUUCAGCAGACUGCAGGGGAGUCAGAGCAAUGUUAUCUCCGAAACAUAAUGCUAAUAAAUGUGUUCAUAUGUUGGACAUUCCCCUGUCCUGUUUUAUGGGGUUUCACUGGUGGUGUUUUAAUGGGCUGGGUCAUUGAGACUGAUGCUAGCAAGGUUAUUAGGAUUAAGUAACCUAAUGAAUCGUGUUACCAUUAGCGGGCUUUGAAGGAAGGUUGUUUUCCAUGCAACGUGGUUUUGUGACUCUUAACACGGACAAUUAUGUUUAAGUGUACCUGGAUAAGGGUUGGGGGUGGAAAUCGUUUCCUUUUUUAAAACUGAGUCUCUUAGGCGCAGCUAAAGAAAGAGACAGAAGGCUGUUUAUUUUUUUAUCCUGUGAAUGUCCAGAGUUGCUCAUUGAGCCAGAAAUCUUGUCCGGGUUUCCAUGAUAUUUUAAAGAGCAAAAGUCAUGUAAGCGGCUCCCUUGUGUAUGUUUCUAUUUGUUCGAAAUAGAUAGAAAUGAGAUUUCUCUCUGAGAUGUUAUUUGGUGAAAUUAUUUAGACAAACCAGUCACAAACAAACCCACACCAAGAGGGACUGACCGAUUUUUUUUACUAAUGGCAUUUAGAAAAAAAUCGAAGGCGUUAUUUAAAAAAAAAGAGUUCAAUUUUAUUUUGAAGAACGAAACAGCUCCAGCUGGACCAUGAUUUGCUGUAUUCUCUGCACAGUGUAUGCUGCCUGCCCACUCUCUGCCACUCUGUGCAAGGCUCAGAAGCAACCAGCAGGUUGACUUGAGUGAACUCGGGCGCCAUCCACUGUCUUCUUUCUACUGGGCAAACUAGGCAAGGGAAACUGUUUGGCAACCGGAUUUAGAUUAAUACCGUGGAUAAAUUUGCCAUUAAUUGCCCUCCGGAGAGGGAGUUUUCAAUGUAAUUAUAAUUUAUGGAUUGUAAUAAUCACUCGAGGGUGACCAUAUCUGUUAAUGGCUAAUUAAAUUAGAUCAUAUUUGAGAUAUUUGUCUGGUGUUUAUAUUUCGGACUGUUCUCACUUUUUAAAUACAUGUAGUUUCACAAUGCAAAUCUUUUAAAGAGCAUAACCGGAGAGUGGCUAGAGAGGAGGAGGAGGAAAGGUGAUAAACCACUGAUUUGGGUACACACAUGUUUUAUUUCUUUUGUUCGGAUGAGAACUGAUGUUUAUCCAUUUGUAUCCAUGAUGAUUUCGGUGUGAUUUUAGGGUUUUGGAGUGAUUUUUUCUCAAUUGUAAGGACACAUUUAAACAUGGGAACGCACUACAUAAUAUCUUCGCAUCCAACCUUAAAGCGACGCUUUCAAAGCGAGGGGAAAGGCAAUGAGUCGGUGACAAGGCAAUCAACACGUCUGGACAAGGGCAGGACAAGCGAUUCUUGACAGGGGCACAGAGGCACAGGUGUAGAGGGGUGAAGGACAGGCUGGGGGGAGAGGGAUUCAGCAUCAGGAACCAGGGAUUGUCGGGGAAUGUAGCAACAAAUACAACUAACUGUUCUGAACCUAGUCACUGGACUUCUUCACAUUAGUGGACAAGUUGGUGUUUCCACCUGAAUUACAGAGCAAAGAGCGUCCGAUCUCUUACAGCAUACAGUUGGGUAUCCGUGGUUUAAAGAUGGGAGAGUCCGAUCUUUUACAGCAUACAGUUGGGUAUCCGUGGUUUAAAGAUCUCAGUGACAUAACUUUAUAUAAACGGAUUAAUCACGCCCACGGAAACUUAACUUAUAAGCAUACGGUUUAUUACUAAACACACAUAAAAACUGCCUUCCUCUCUCUCUCUCUCGCCAUUUCUAAUGACAUAUAACUGGCGUUGUAAUGAAGAUUAAUAUGCUGUUUCCACAAACUGAUGACAUAUUUUUCAGAUAUAAAAUGAUAUAAUUGCACUAAACACCAGCCGCAAACCAAAAUACACGUUUUCCGACCAAAAAAGCACAUAAUUAUGUGGUUCAGCUGCAACCCACACUAAAUGUACAUCAAUAUAGGCUAAGGAUUUUCCUUCUUAAAGAAUUUAUUGUCAUGAGGUUUCGUCUUUACUUCACUCAGCACCGUCAUUAUCUGAUCAUGGAUUUCUCUCUGACACUCAAAGCAGUUCAAGUUGAAUCCGAAUUUUGAAUCGGGUUUUGGUGGUGUUUGCUUUUAAGAACUCAAUCUAAACUAGCGAUCCACUUCCACAAACGGACACGUUCUUUGUUCCAGGAUCACUGGCAAUAAAUAGAAGUUUUUCUACUACCUCUAACGCGGCGUAAAACACGAUGACCAUAUUUUCCACCAUCCGAUCCGGAUUCCUCCGGGUAGGGAAGGAACUGGCUCUGGAUAUCUGCUUCUGCUUGGCUAUUCCCAGGAGCUGCUCUGGGUCAUUAGUUUCGAGCUCCAGAUAGCUCUGAAUCAUUUUCUUUUGGAUGGUGGUUUUAAUUAACUUUCUGCAAGCUGGAGUUCAGGCUUCUGAUAUAUUGAAAUGAAGGAGGGAGUUAAAAGCCCGGUUUGUCUGCCACUAGCUUAAUAACGUUUAGUGUGUUGUUAGUGUAAAAAAAAUCAGGACCCGUAUUAAUACUGAACCCCUGGAAAAAUAGGAGUCCUUUGUCUACCCCACCCCAUUUCUCCGGACAUGUGUACUGUCUCUUCUAACUGUGCAUUUCACAAAGUUGUUUCCGGGAUAUUAAUAUUAGAAUUCCCGAUCCCGAAAAUGAUCACACCUGCAGCUUUAGCUAGAUCCCGGUCAGGGGAAAACCCUGCUCAUUUGCGGGAGUCAUUUAUAAGGGCACAAACCAGCUCAGAUUUCGUUUCCCCUAGUCUCACUCCCGAUAUAAAAUCAUAGCGUAUAAAUUAGCCCUUUCCUGGCCAGUAUUGCACCUAUCCCCUGCAGCUGCUGCUGGCACAGAGGUGCUGACUGCACGCGGGAUGUCGCAUAGCUGACCCAGAUCUGCCUCUUAACGCCAAAUUAUAUUGGCACCAUAAUAUUGGCAUUCUUGCACUUACCAGGGCCUUCAACUGCACCUUUCCCUCUGGAGAACGUAGGCGGGGAAGGAACAAGGUGUCUGUCUGCAAAUGGGAAGGGAUGCUUCAACCUGCCUAUCUUGGAAAAUCUCCACUUUCCCAUAUUAUGUCAAAUUCAUAUUACUCUUCACACCCUGUUAAGAAUUCACGCCUUGGAAACUGCUAAAUGCUUCCAGCCACACAGGUACCUCCCUCCAGUGAGUCAGCCAGCCCAGCGCCUCUUUCACUCCUGAUUAAUUAGAACCGUUCGGUGGAGGUUUGGAUUUUAGCACAUUAGCUGUGUUCAGAACUGAACAAGGAAUCGCUCUACCGUUGGAAAUUCCUCAGAUUCUUCCUGCUUCGGUUCACACAUCAGGCCUACUUCUGUCACUGCUCGUGGGUACAUCCUUUUCGGGGAAAAUUUGGGACCGCUUUCAGAGCUGCACCAGUUUAAUAGUUCGGAUGCCAGCCAUUUGGCGUUAAGAGGCAGAUCUGGGUCAGCUAUACGACAUCCCGCGUGCAGUCAGCACCUCUGUGCCAGCAGCAGCUGCAGGGGAUAGUCGUGGGCGGAGGGGGAGGACAGAGACCGAUCAAAGGAGAUUUGGAGGCAACAAACAGUAAAUGGAGUUGCAGAGCUGCAUUGAAACUAACACACCUUGUAUUUUAUAGGUUUGGUCUAGGAUUUUACUUCAUCCUUGAGCGUGAAGCACUGGAAAAGGAACUGGGGUGUGGCCUGAGGCUGUUGCAAUGAAAUCAAGAGCAGCUUUGCCAUUAACUUAAAUGAAACAGAACAGAGCCCUAGAUUUUCCAUGUACCUGUUUAGCCUGUGAGGUUUUGAAGAGGUCACAUCUUCGCGUGUAUUUUCAACCUUGUUGGUUUAGCAUUAUUGCCUUGAAAGGAAAACAGUCAUUUUCGACACCAACUCUUGCAUCUGGAUAGAAAACAAGUCAGAAUACUUUUGGUAUUCUGGUGAGAUUAAUAUGAAGCUAACUGAUAAUGGCACUUUCACUGAAAGGUUAGUGCAAAAGAAUAUUAAUUUCUCAAUAUAAUACUGUAUCACCUUCGUUAUUAAUGUGAAAUCUUGCCCAGUAGAGGAUACUCGAUGCUCUGCUGCACUUGCACACACUGCUCAUUCAGAUCAUGUGUUAAACUGAAACAAGACAUUUCAUUCUGUAGCAAAAUCUCCCGCCCUCUCAUCGGACAGUUUUAAAACAAAAAAAACUAAAGAACUUUGGCCCUCAGUUACACCAAGUGCAAUCAUAUGGUUCCUGUCUUGCGUUCCGAGUGGUUAGCAAGGCGUUUGACUGAAGGCAGAUUGUUAAAAUAUUAUAAUCUUUGAGAAGGAAGGUUUUUUCUCACCUGUUUGUUUAGGGGGAGGUGAGAUGGGUGGAAGGGGCGGUUUUGCAGUCCUCACAAUUAGAAGUUCAGAAUACAGAUGCGUGACGUACGAUUGUCCACCAUAUUUCUGGACCCAAAAGCUUCAGGUAAAUAGACGUACUUAAAACUCGGGCUGUUGUUUCCAACCUGAAAUAAAACAUUGGAUUUUCAUCUCGUGGUUCUAAGCAAGUGCCCCGACAAAUUGCGGUUUUUAAAAGCCUUAUUUUCAGUCUGGCACUAGCAUUAUGCACAAGUCCCAGAUAAUGGCCCAUUCGAGCCUAUCCUGGGGCAGAUCCUCAGUUGGUGUAACUGGUCAUAGCUCCAUUGAUUUCUGCCUUCCCUCCCUUCAUCAUCCACACAAUACCCAUCCACCACCAUCACCACCCCCAACAUACACACACAUACACAAACACUUUCUUGGAAUCACAGUUCUCCACCCAUUAUCGCUUGAGUGAUCUCCAGCUCUGGUCAAAACCCGUCAGUUUGUUAGACGAUUAAAAAACAGAACAAACAAUGCUCUAAAUUUGACUUUAUUUGAUUUCUUAAAAUUACCAGAAGUGUUCAGCCUCCUUUAUGUAACGUUUGUGCGCGUUGGGGAAAUCCUAAAAUUGGCCGUCCAGUCAAUAAUCACUAGAAACAUGAUGAGAUGCACGUUUCUGGUUGAUUAGCUAUUUUACAAUUAAUUAAUACUUCGAUAUUAUAUGGAUUUAUUCAUAACGGGGCAAGUGCGUGUGUGCGUGAGAGAGAGAAUUUUUGGUUAUUGUUUUAAGGUUUCAGUUUAAUAAAUAUGACUAAGAGAAUAGUACACUUCAAGACUUUUCACCGCCAUUUCAAAGCAUAAUUUUGUCAGUAUUGAUACUAUACAAUUUUAAAGGAGUUUGAAAUAUUUGUAAGCUAUACAUGCAUUGUGCAUUUUCGACAUUUGGUUUCAGUUUUUCCUAUUUCACGCAGGAGUACACCAAAGUCCUGAUCUUGCAUUUCUUCACAAUGAGGACAACUUUUGGGUGCACAGAAAAUGCAGGAACUGGCAAGCCCCUAAAUAACUGGUUACAGGUCAUUUUUUAGGAUGCUAACGUCUUUAGGAGCAUGCCACAAUUGCAUAGUUUGCCUAAUUUCACAGCGAAGAUUUACACACACACACACACAGGAAAGGUUUCAGAGUAGCAGCCGUGUUAGUCUGUAUCUGCAAAAAGAACAGGAGUACUUGUGGCACCUUAGAGACUAACAAAUUUAUUUGAGCAUAAGCUUUCGUGGGCUAAAACCUACUUAAUACAUGGACCAUGACAACGGUAAUAGUGGUUGUUCUGUUAACUGUACAUCGCACUUGCAUAUUACAGGUAUCAUCUGGUAUCCCAAACCUGGCAUUAACCAAGCUAAACUAACUCUCAUCUGAACUGCAGCCCUGCUACAAAAUAUCUUACUCCGACAUGCUAGCGAUUACAUUUUUAUUGUUGUUAUAGUGCUGAAAAAAAGCAGUGUCUAGAUGAGAAAAUAAAAAUAUGCCCACUCCUUUACAAUUUCCUCUUUUUAAAGUGCCAUGGUUACUACAACAAAACAAUACAAAACCAAAUAGAAAACGGGACCCCCUCUCCCAAGCCCCAAACAAUCAGAUUAUGUAUCAAGUCCCACUCCAAACCUUCCAUUAGCUGACCGGAGGAUUUCAUGAAUAGGGCCAUAUAAUUUCUACCCAUCACUUUAGUAUGUGAAAGCCUCGCAAUCUUAGAUGUAGUUGUCCUCAUAAUACCCCUGUGAGGUAGGAAAAUGCUACUAUCCUCAUUUUAUAGACAAGGAACUGAGGUACAAAGAGGCUAAGUGACUGUCCCGGGGUCACACAAGAAGACUGUAACAGCCUUUCAGUAACAGCUGGAAAAAAAGUUGUUCAUAUUUAACAUGAACUCACCAUUACUAAGGACUGGCUGGAGUUGGAAAAAACCUUCGUCUUGGGCCUAAUCCAAAGCCAAUAGGAGUCUUUCCAUUGGCUUCAGUGAGCUUUGGAUCAGGGUCUAAUGGCACUCUUAGGUUCUCCUUAAAGACGUAAAACAAAAUAGAGUAAUUGUUAAAGCAUAAAUAAAAGGGGAGUUUCAGCCUAGACCCUGCGGCCCUUAGUCAGGCAAACGUUCCCCUGAAACCUCCGGGAAAUUAUGUUUGUUUUACUCCAGCAAUUUGGACUAAUCGCCAAAGUAAACCCAGCAGGAUUUGGCCCGGAAGGAGGUUUGCCUCAUUAAGGAGUGCAGGAUGAGACGAUGGGCAAUAUAACUAGUAUUCCUGUUCCCAGAGAUAACAUUUCACAGCUCAGUGAAAUAGACCCUACUUUUUUAUUUUUAACCAUCGAACCGCAUUUUAUUUACACUUCACAACUCCAUAUAUUUCCCCUCACCCCCCCCCAUUAUUGGUUUAAUAUGAUAUUUGCCCUCUGUGAAAUCAAACUUAAUUCCUCAGAUCAGCCUAGUGACAUGCAACGGGUGUCUAAUUGGACGGCACUUAUUAUACACCGAAUAAUUCUGCAUUUCUAAUUAUUUCGUUAUUCAUCCAUGAAAACCUGUGUAGUGACCAAUUGUCUUGAAUCAGGUCCAAGCCACAUUGCAGUGCAUUGUUGAGGUUCUGUUCGUGAGGCACAGUAGUGAGAUCUGCGUGAGGUUUGCAUUGUGUAGCUUAGGCUUGAGAGAGGCUCAUUGGUUGUGGUGGUUUAUGGGGCCAGUUAGAGGACAACCUAUAUCAAGCGUUUUGAUACUAAAAUUGACAACUGUCUUGUAUUGUCUUUUGAAAUAA